AGUUUCUAUCCGUGACGCCUCCAACUCUGAACCAGAAAAAGGACUUCCGCCGAAACCGAACAUACAUACAUCACAUAGCCUCCAUAUUAGGCAGGUUCUUCGCUGAACAUAAGUCCGGAAAUAAGACAUCAACCCUUUCAAAGGUGCAGACAAUAGGAGACGCCGUGGGUGAUGACGAUAGCGAAACGCAACACAGGACUCUUCAUCGACACUGGGGCCGCCGUUUCUUUUCUAAACGACCGGGACCUAAACAAGCAAUUUGUUUCCACCGCUCGAGUCAACGCCAAACUCUUCAUUGCCAGAAAUCUGUCAGUGAAAACCUGUUUGGUAUAGACAUCUUUCUGUAUUAUAAGGCCACCGUUGAUUUGAAAGAGCUUUAACUACGGCUGCCGUGGGGAAAUCUGACGCUGUAUGUCCCAUCUACAGAGCAGCGUAAUUUACUUUCUUCAACUGCGCCUACUAGUAUCAUGCCAUAUAACGACAUUCACUUAACGGUCCAAUUCACGACCGAGGAGCUGCUACCUGUUGCUCUACUUAACCGUGGAGCUCAAUCUCAGUUGUUUCCCAAGGUUUUACUCGGUAGUGCCUAGGUGGACACCUCAAACCAUACCAGUGCCCUGCAUCCCAUGGACGGUUCCACAUGGUUCAGAGUUGAUUAUAGACUUUUGAACGUCGUAACCGCAAAGCACUUACCCCAUUCCAAGAGCUGGCAACAUCUUGACCACCAUGCAUGACGCCUGUUGGUACUUCACGACAGAGUGGCCACUGGCUACCCAUCGCCAUUGCCCGCACACUACAUGAGCUAACAGAAGUUAAACGCUCCUUCGUGUGACCACAAACGUUUCACGAUACCUUCGACACGCUAAAAGUCAAUCUCACGUCGCCACUUGUUCUAAAGCCCCCGGAGGGCUUAUUCAUCCUUGACACAGACGCAUCCAACCAUGCAGGUACGGUGGUGAGUCAAAAUCAACUCGGCCAAGUGCGAGUACUGGAAUAUUACAGAAAAUUAUUUAGUGCGUUCCAACGCAACUACUUUUUAACUCGGAGAAGCUGCUAGCCGUGCUCCUAUGAAAUUUAAUAGAAAACAAAUAAAGAAAAAAAAAAUGCUACAAACUAAAAAAA